rnacentral:tRNA from 1 species
GUGGUUGUAGCUCAGUGGUAGAGCACUAGCUUGUGGAGCUAGUCGUCGCGGGUUCGAAUCCCGUCAGCCACCC